rnacentral:lncRNA from 1 species
UCAUUUUUUCGCCAUUUUCUUCUGAAAAAGCACAUUUACGGCGAAUGGGUACCGUCCUGAUCUGACCAGCCCGCCGCCAUUGACGAAUCUCGAUCGACCAUUGAAGUCAGCGAUCGUCCCUCCCGGGCUCCGUUCCAGCGUGCCGCUCUUCUUGCACAUUCCCCCCCGCAGGAAAGGGAAACAAAAUAAGAUAUUUAUCACUAAAAAGCUCCAGCUGGGGGGAGCCCGGCUCUCAUCAAAAUCGCAUCUUGACCCUUAUCUUUGCAGACCCAAUCCGACCCCUCUUCUUCUUCUUCUUCCUCCUCCUCUUCUACUUCUUCCUGCUCCCCUCGAGGGAGAGGGAUCAGGGCAGACGUGGCUUGCAUCCCUCGUGCAGCGUGCACGGGCAAGCUUUUGGUCCAAGUGGAGAAGCUUUAAUGCCCCAGAAAAGACGCCCACCACCCCGUCGGAGGAUGCUCCGGCGCUCGCCCGCGAUCUCUGAUCUCUGCAGGGCCUUCCGCGCGUAUAUUUCUUUCAUGUGUUUGCUGCGCAAGAUGGGUUAGAAUUUCGCGGGCCGACUCUCGAGGGCAUAUGACAUAUAUUCAUACGCUUUUACCGCGGCUUGGCGUCCGAACCACGCGAGCCCCCGUGGUUCGUCAAAUGUCCACGCCAGCGUCGCCGUCAAAUAUCACGCUGGCGUCGGUGGGAGUCAACCCUCCACAGCCU